rnacentral:rRNA from 1 species
AGUGAACGCUGGCGGUAGGCCUAACACAUGCAAGUCGAACGGCAGCACAGUAAGAGCUUGCUCUUACGGGUGGCGAGUGGCGGACGUGUGAGGAAUACAUCGGAAUCUACUUUUUCGUGGGGGAUAACGUAGGGAAACUUACGCUAAUACCGCAUACGACCUACGGGUGAAAGCAGGGGAUCUUCUGACCUUGCGCGAUUGAAUGAGCCGAUGUCGGAUUAGCUAGUUGGCGGGGUAAAGGCCCACCAAGGCGACGAUCCGUAGCUGGUCUGAGAGGAUGGUCAGCCACACUGGAACUGAGACACGGUCCAGACUCCUACGGGAGGCAGCAGUGGGGAAUAUUGGACAAUGGGCGCAAGCCUGAUCCAGCCAUACCGCGUGGGUGAAGAAGGCCUUCGGGUUGUAAAGCCCUUUUGUUGGGAAAGAAAAGCAGCAGGUUAAUACCCCGCUGUUCUGACGGUACCCAAAGAAUAAGCACCGGCUAACUUCGUG